rnacentral:rRNA from 1 species
UACGGAAGGCAGCAGUGGGGAAUAUUGCACAAUGGGCGCAAGCCUGAUGCAGCCAUGCCGCGUGUAUGAAAAAGGCCUUCGGGUUGUAAAGUACUUUCAGUCGUGAGGAAGGUGUUAAGGUUAAUAACCUUAGCAAUUGACGUUAGCGACAGAAGAAGCACCGGCUAACUCCGUGCCAGCAGCCGCGGUAAUACGGAGGGUGCGAGCGUUAAUCGGAAUUACUGGGCGUAAAGGGCACGCAGGCGGUUAAUUAAGUUGGAUGUGAAAUCCCCGGGCUUAACCUGGGAAUGGCAUUCAAGACUGGUUAGCUAGAGUCUUGUAGAGGGGGUAGAAUUCCAUGUGUAGCGGUGAAAUGCGUAGAGAUGUGGAGGAAUACCGGUGGCGAAGGCGGCCCCUGGACAAAGACUGACGCUCAUGUGCGAAAGCGUGGGGAGCGAAAC